rnacentral:rRNA from 1 species
UUGAGUUUGAUCAUGGCUCAGAUUGAACGCUGGCGGCAGGCCUAACACAUGCAAGUCGAGCGGAAACGAUGGAAGCUUGCUUCCAGGCGUCGAGCGGCGGACGGGUGAGUAAUGCAUGGGAAUCUGCCCGAUAGUGGGGGAUAACCUGGGGAAACCCAGGCUAAUACCGCAUACGUCCUACGGGAGAAAGCAGGGGAUCUUCGGACCUUGCGCUAUCGGAUGAGCCCAUGUCGGAUUAGCUUGUUGGUGAGGUAAUGGCUCACCAAGGCGACGAUCCGUAGCUGGUCUGAGAGGAUGAUCAGCCACAUCGGGACUGAGACACGGCCCGAACUCCUACGGGAGGCAGCAGUGGGGAAUAUUGGACAAUGGGCGAAAGCCUGAUCCAGCCAUGCCGCGUGUGUGAAGAAGGCCCUCGGGUUGUAAAGCACUUUCAGUGGGGAAGAAAGCCUUGGGAUUAAUACUCCCGAGGAAGGACUC